rnacentral:rRNA from 1 species
CAAUAGCGUAUAUUAAAGUUGUUGCAGUUAAAAAGCUCGUAGUUGGAUUUCGGGGCAGCCUGGCUGGUCCGCCGCAAGGCGAGUACUGGUCAGCCGCCCUUCCUCUCGAAAGCCCCGACUGCUCUUUAUUGCAGUGGUCGGGUAGUUCGGGACGUUUACUUUGAAAAAAUUAGAGUGUUCAAGGCAGGCCUACGCCUGAAUACAUUAGCAUGGAAUAAUGGAAGAGGACCUCGGUCCUAUUUUGUUGGUUUCCAGGACCGAAGUAAUGAUUAAGAGGGACAGUUGGGGGCAUUCGUAUUUAAUUGUCAGAGGUGAAAUUCUCGGAUUUGUGAAAGACGAACAACUGCGAAAGCAUUUGCCAAGGAUGUUUUCAUUAA